UGGGGAAUAUUGCACAAUGGAGGGAACUCUGAUGCAGCGACGCCGCGUGAGCGAUGAAGGCUUUCGAGUCGUAAAGCUCUGUCCUAUGGGAAGAUAAUGACGGUACCAUAGAAGAAAGCCCCGGCUAAUUACGUGCCAGCAGCCGCGGUAAUACGUAAGGGGCGAGCGUUGUCCGGAAUUAUUGGGCGUAAAGAGUGCGUAGGCGGCAAAUUAAGUCAGAUGUGAAAACUAAGGGCUCAACCCAUAGAUUGCAUCUGAAACUGAUAUGCUUGAGUCAAGGAGAGGAAAGUGGAAUUCCUAGUGCAGCGGUGGAAUGCGUAGAUAUUAGGAGGAAUACCGGUGGCGAAGGCGACUUUCUGGACUUGAACUGACGCUGAGGCACGAAAGCGUGGGGAGCAAACAGG
rnacentral:rRNA from 1 species